AUGCAGAUGGAAGAGGAGGUCGAGCAGCGGAAUCAGCCUCGUCACAAGAAGAAUCAGGCUGACCUUGCUGAUGAGCUCGAGUUCUUCACGGACCUCCGCCAUAUGCUGAUGAUAAAGAAGAACAAGGAGAAGGAGAAGGGCACGCCCGAGAAGGAGAGGUUCGAUUCUUCCAACUCCUACCGUAGUUUGGGCACGCAGAAGGGGCUUGGUUUUCUCGACAAUCGUAUCAAGGUCUUGCGCAAGCGGAUGGGGAUAACCGCCGGAACUGCCAACACCUCCCCCGCGAUCUCUGAUCUGUCUGACCCCUCGCGGAAGCAUAUGAAUGGUCUCAGUGACCUGAGUUCGACAUUAGGAGCAGAUCCAAUUUCAAAUGAUGAUGAUGGUGCUGAUGGUUCUGGUGACGACGAGGAGGAGGAUAAGAUGGAGUGUGGCAAGCCAGCCAUGGAGGAAGAGGAGGUCCAGAGGAUCACCGGCUCCACACCAAUUUCGGAGAUUGAUGCUGAGUCAGUGAUGGAGGCAGAUGCCCAAGAUACCGAUGUAUCAGAGAAACCUGAUCCCAUUCCCACCAACACAACGGCAAAAGUGUCCAUAAACCUGAUCCCAUUCAACAAUGAAGUCCUUGAUGGAGCUGACACUGAUUGUGUUGACGAUGAUGAGGUAGACAGAGGCAAAUCGGACGCACAAUUAGCCAGGGAGAAGAGGGUGAUGUCUACCGAGGAGCUCAAGUUUGAGUCCUUCCGUCGUGGCUGGGAGACUGCGUUUAGCCGACGCAGCGGCCACUUCCUUAACAGGACGACAGUGAGUUCCAUGCAGUUUACACACUUGGCACCUGGGCGCAUCCCAUGCGGCGCUGGCAUAGAACCUGCCGUGCAGAUCUUCUCUGUCAAGCUUACAGAGGUGAAAGGCGGCUUCAAAUUUCCAUUGUCCGUGUAUGGUGUGGUCGCUGCCCGUGAUGGCGUGGAUUACAACCGCAACCUUCUCUUCUUUUGCGAUAGGAGCAACUCCCAAAAACUUACUCAAAAUGUACGGUUGCUGGAUCCUUAUCUGCGCCUGAUCGGCCCGUCUCGUGCUGUUUUCUAUGAGGACUAUGUUAAUUAUGAGGUCCAGCUUAUGGUGAAAGGCAGCGUCAAGUCUCGGGACAGGCCGUUGAUCACAGAUACAUACCGCCAAAUCCAAUGCCGUAUUGGUGUAUCCACCAUCUGCUUUCAGAACUGCUUCUGCACGAUGGAGUUAUGCUUGGAGCGAUUUCUAGGUUCGGUCCAGGCCACCAUCUUUGGCGUACGCGUCGUCAAAGACAAUGGGGCGUGGCCUUUUGGACAUGGUGUUCGGGUUGCUUGCUCCCCAGCAUCACGGGAACUUAUGGAGGACAGUGAUGGUGAAAUCAAGUAUGUUGCUCAGCCUUCGUCUGGGGAAAUCUUGCUGCUUGAUUCAAAAUAUGGAAGAAGACCUGCGGAUUCAGAUGGAUACCUUUAUCUGUCAAGGCAAGUUGUUUCUGUAGAACCAAGCGGACAGCUGGAAGUUGAAAUACAGGCCUAUGCACCACCCGGCGUUCUCCCUGCAAAAGCUCAGGUCUGCUUCGAAGCCCAAGAAUGCAACAUAGAUCGUGGUCGUUGUUGCCUCCUCGGUGCCGAGGUGGAGAUCUGUGUUGCUUGGUCCCGUCUUGCUUCGGACAUGGAGAUGCUUGCGGGUGUUGACAGGGAUUUUCAAAGGGACGAACCAGAGGUUGCGUUCACACAAGUGGGGCUGAAUGGAGAGCCUGACACCGAACGAAUCUUUUAA
rnacentral:rRNA from 1 species